rnacentral:rRNA from 1 species
UACGUAGGUGGCAAGCGUUUGUCCGGAAUUAUUGGGCGUAAAGCGCGCGCAGGCGGUCCUUUAAGUCUGAUGUGAAAGCCCACGGCUCAACCGUGGAGGGUCAUUGGAAACUGGGGGGACUUGAGUACAGAAGAGGAAAGCGGAAUUCCACGUGUAGCGGUGAAAUGCGUAGAGAUGUGGAGGAACACCAGUGGCGAAGGCGGCUUUCUGGUCUGUAACUGACGCUGAGGCGCGAAAGCGUGGGGAGCAAACAGG